GACGAACGCUGGCGGCGUGCCUAAUACAUGCAAGUAGAACGCUGAAGGAGGAGCUUACUUCUCUGGAUGAGUUGCGAACGGGUGAGUAACGCGUAGGUAACCUGCCUGGUAGCGGGGGAUAACUAUUGGAAACGAUAGCUAAUACCGCAUAAGAGUAGAUGUUGCAUGACAUUUACUUAAAAGGUGCAAUUGCACCACUACCAGAUGGACCUGCGUUGUAUUAGCUAGUUGGUGGGGUAACGGCUUACCAAGGCGACGAUACAUAGCCGACCUGUGAGGGUGGUCGGCCACACUGGGACUGAGACACGGCCCAGACUCCUACGGGAGGCAGCAGUAGGGAAUAUUCGGCAAUGGACGGAAGUCUGACCGAGCAACGCCGCGUGAGUGAAGAAGGUUUUCGGAUCGUAAAGCUCUGUUGUAAGAGAAGAACGAGUGUGAGAGUGGAAAGUUCACACUGUGACGGUAUCUUACCAGAAAGGGACGGCUAACUACGUGCCAGCCGCCGCCGUAA
rnacentral:rRNA from 1 species